CAAGACUACAGGAUCAUGCCAGAAUCAGAACAGAAGCUGUGUCCUGUAUCAGAAUCUGAAAAAGCCCAAGUUGCAUGAAUGAAGGCCUCAAAGAAGCUAGUAGCAGACAGCAUGUGUAUCUGGUGCAGGUCUAGAACCUGUCUGGCAGGCUGUGGACGGAACAGCACUCCAGAUCUGCAGGUGAUUCAUAGGCUCGGAGAAGUUGGAGAAGCUCCGGUCUAGGUACGCCUGCCGAGAUUCUCAGGAGUGCAGAAAGUGGGAAACCGUCAGCAGUACCAGCCAUCACCAGCACUGACACCCAGGAUGCCAUUAGGAAGAGGUCCAAGACUAGCAGGGCAGCCGCUGUGAGCCUGGAAACUGCUUGGGUGCCUUGAGAUGGGCUGUUACAUCCACGGUGGCUCAGGGCUUCCUCUAUGAAGCAUCGACUCUCCUGGGCUUUCAGCUGGACAUUCAGGAUUCAAAGAUGAGUGCAGAGUCACAGAGACAAACGAGACCCAGUGCUGCGGGGACACAGAGGCCGGGGCCAAGAAUUCCUCCAGGUGGCUCAUGCCUGUAAUCCCAACACUUUGGAAGGCCAAGCGGGCGGAUCACUUGAGGUCAGGAGUUUGAGACCAGCCUGGCCAACAUGGUGAAACCCCAUCUCUACCAAAAAUAUAAAAAAUUAGCCAGGCAGUGGUGGCAUGCACCUGUAAUCUCAGCUGCUUGGGAGGCUGAGGGAGGAGAAUCACUUGAGCCCGGGAGACAAAGGUUGCAGUGAGCUGAGAUCGUGCUACCACACUCCAGCCUGUUGGAAGUUGACUGCAGUUGAAUAACAGAACAAAAACGGAGCUUCAAAAUCAUGGCGUGCCUGCUUCUUCUGGGUUCUUUUAACUGCAAGCAAUCAGCUUUGAAGAGCACGUAGGGAACUUCUGAUGUGAUACAAACUUUUGUCUUUUUUUUUUUUUUUGUCUUUUAAGAGCAUUCAAAAACACUUGGUCUGGCUGUUUCAAUUUUCUCUUUCUCUCCUAUUCCUAGCUCAAGAAUAACAUUUACAUAUGAAAGAAAAUAGGAGAUGGCUCAGAAUAAUAUGUCCAAGGCCACGCCCAGGCGUCAGGGAUUCAUGAAUUUUGUAUACAGUGUAUGAUGUUUCUAGAUUAAAAUAUUUUCAAAG
rnacentral:lncRNA from 10 species